rnacentral:tRNA from 1 species
UAUUUAUAUAGUUUAAAAAAAACCUUACAUUUUCAUUGUAAAAUUAGAAUAUUUUAUUCUUAUAAAU